rnacentral:sRNA from 1 species
AAAUAAACCUGACAGUAGCGUGCACGAUGUAAAGCGUAUGGCAGGACUAUCG